CCCUUAGAUGUCCGGGGCUGCACGCGCGCUACACUGAAUGAAUCAGCGUGCUAGAAAACCUUGUUUGACAUGGCUAGGUAACCCAUUGAAAAUCAUUCGUGAUUGGGAUCGGGACUUGCAAAUGUGUCCCUUGAACGAGGAAUUCCUAGUAAGCGCGAGUCAUCAGCUCGCGCUGAUUACGUCCCUGCCCUUUGUACACACCGCCCGUCGCUACUACCGAUUGGAUGGUUUAGCGAGAACUUUGGACCGGAGCUCGGGUGGUCAGCAAUGGCCGCCCGAGACAUACUGGGAAAUCGCUCCAGCUUGAUCAUCUAGAGGAAGUAAAAGUCGUAACA
rnacentral:rRNA from 1 species